rnacentral:rRNA from 1 species
UUCAACCUCCAUACCACUUUGAAUACACCGGUUCUCGUUCGAUCACCAAACCUAAACAACGUCAGGCGCGGUCUGCACUGGGAUGGGUGACCGCCUGGGAAUAUCGCGUGACGUUGGCC